AAGGUCCUAUGUUUCCUAUGUGAAGGGUCCAGUGCCCAUCCAGUCCAGCAUCCUGUUUCACACAGUGGCCCACCAGAUGCCUCUGAGAAGCCUACAGUCAAGAACUGAGCGCAUGCCCUCUCUCCUGCUGUUGCUCCCCUGCAACUGGUAUUUGGAGGUAUUUUGCGGUGCCUGGAGCUGGCUACACACAGCUUUGUAGGAAUACCGCUUUGUUAGCUGAGACCAGGCUGCAUGGCUCCUGGGAAUGUGCAGACUUCACCAUGAUGCAAGCUUUUGUACUUUGAACUGCAAUUUGGGACCUAAGAGCUACCAAGCCUCCUGUCUAACAUCAGAUAAGAAGAAAGACAUCUCCUGCAUUUUUACCAUUUUGCUUUGGUUGCCUCUGUGAUCUGUCCUACUUUUUAUAUCUACUUAAAUAAACUAGAUUUUGAUUGUUUUAAACUUGA